ensembl:lncRNA
AGAGGAAGUACAGCCAGAGGCAUCUGAAAGAGUCCAGAGCAGAGAUAGAAAGUAGUACACUGAGCAUGGCCAGUAGACUGCUCUUGGCCACGAGAAGAAGCUGGGAGCAAGAGAGGAAGACAAAGGAGAUCGAUCGAUCGGUAGAGAAGGGACCAGGAGAGCACAUAGUCAAGAUAGCAGGGUUAUAGGGGAAUGAGAAUUCAGGGGAGGGAAGCCAAUGAGCUGGAGAAGUUUAGGGUCGUGGGGAAAAAGCCAGGAUGCGGGCAUGGACUCUGUAACAGCUGCUUGUGACAGGAGAGAGCCUGGAGUCCAGUAUAAACUCUGGUCUGCUAAUAGACACCACAGAUAGCCAUUUGUCAGAAGUUUCUUUUGGAUAUAACAUUAGUCCUGUAGCAGCUAUAGUAAUCCUGGUCUCUCAGCAUUACUGCAGUGAGCAGCAGUGGGCAGUAGUGAGCAGCACUGUGUUGUACUGAGCUGCAGUGAACAGCAGUGGGCAGCAGUGAGCAGCAGUGUGCUGCACUGAGCUGCAGUGAGCAGCAGUGGGCAGCAGUGAGCAGCAGUGUGCUGCACUGAGCUGCAGUGAGCAGCAGUGGGCAGCAGUGAGCAGCAGUGUGUUGCACUGAGCUGCAGUGAGCAGCAGUGGGCAGCAGUGUGUUGCACUGAGCUGCAGUGAGCAGCAGUGGGCAGCAGUGGGCAGCAGUGAGCAUCACUGUGUUGCACUGAGCUGCAGUGAGCAGCAGUGGGCAGCAGUGGGCAGCAGUGAGCUCUGCAGACAGCACUGCCUAGACUAACUUACACAAGCACCCAAAGUGCCAGCCUGGCGCAUGGCCUGUAGCUUCUGUACUAAGGGAGGUCUCAAGUCACAUGAUCUCAGCCCUUAAAACAGACUGUUUCAUAUGCACAUAGAUACACCGGUAGAUAACUACACAGUUGCCUGUUUGGGGGUACUUUAGAGAUGUAUUUGUUUUGGUGUACUCUAGAGAUAGAGAAGUGCCUGUUGUGGGGUACUCUAGAGAUAGAGAAGUGCCUGUUUUGGGGUACUCUAGAGAUAGAGAACUGAUGGACUGGAUAUGGACUACAAAAGGGGGUUAAUGAACCAUUCCACCUUCUUAAACUCUUUCUAUCCAUGACCCCUUUUCUCCUGAGAAAUUUUGGCACAAUCCCAGAUUUAUAAGCAAAUAAAACAGAUAUACUUUCCAAGCAUCAAUUUAUAAGAAAUUAUAAAGUGACUCAUAUAGCAGGCAGAGAAAAGACUUGUUUUCAACAAAAUAUCAGUCACUCAAUUUUACCAAUAAAGACUCGGGAGCCAGAUGCUGGGGUGGAAACCUGCUAGCUCAGAGAAGCAGAAAAAGCAACUGGCUGACCUUCCUCUUCUGUUGAUGUCCCAGAAAGAGAGCUUGCUCUUACACCAUCUCAAUCAAAACUCUUCAAACUCAAUGUUCCUCCCUUCUACCUCUGGGUAUCUCUCUAUCUGUCCACCUGACUUCCUCUUACUCUGUAUGUUUUUUUUUUUCUGUCACCUGGUUGUUUGCUCCAUCUCUUAACCUAUGGUUGAUUUUAUUUAAUCCUGUUUACAAUAUCCAAACAGAAAGCUCUUGGAUUAAAGGUGUGUGCUAGGGCUGAGCCACACCACAAUUGGAAACAGGUUCUUCCAGUAAAUAAUAUAAUCUCAGGGUCACAACAACAGAAAACCUUUUAAAUGUUUUCCUUCCUUGUCUAUCAGGCUUCUUAGAGCCAUGGCCCCUGCAACUCCAGACAUAGUCCAUGAUUCACAGGGUCUCCUGUCCUGGGCCCACCGCGUUCUCAUACAUCUGAUAGCCACAGUCUGCUCACUACCCAAAGGCCUGCUAUUCAGAGUUCUCAGGAAAAAAUCACACACACACACACACACACACACACACACACACACACACACACACCCCAAAACCAAAAUCCACCCUGUAAUCCAGAUCCAUAUAUAGUUACUGGGCUAUAAUCUCCAUGUACAGAGACUGAGGCAGGAGAAUUGCCACAAGAUUAUAGGCAAUCUGGGCUACAGAAUAAGAGCAUCUCAACAUAAGAAGUAAAAAGUGGGAUAGAGGGGCACGGGGAGGUGGCUUACUUAAAAGUACAAGGAGCCAUGCAUGAUAAAUCCCCAGAAUCUAAGUAAAGGGGCCAGGUAUGGUCUGCCACGGACCACCCCAGCCGGGAGUCCCUGAGAUGAGGGUCCUCGAAGAAUAGGUGGGUAAGGAUUUGGCGGUGACAAACAGAAACAAACACAGAGGCAGUUUGAAUCUGAGUGUAUUUUUCAGUUCUCAAACAAGGCUUUUUUUAUAGAGAUAUUUUCUCAGAGGAUGUUUUUGUUAAACAAAUCCAAACAUAUGACAUUAUUUGCCACACCAAAUCCAGUAGAUUCUGUGUGACAAGUUCCACAGACUGAGGCAAUAACUUCAAAAGAAGAAGGUCUCCUGGAAACAGUUGUGGAACUCCCAGCCAGAGAAAAAUAUUGAGCUAUGAAACUCGUGGCAAUUUCUGUUUGUUCUUCUAUUCAUAUUUUUCACAUUAAUGAAAUGUUCCUAAAAGUCUAUGCUGACAUUCUAAACAAAAGAAACAGACAAGAAGCCAUCCCCUGGUCCUGCAGCAGGCACCCGAGCCUCAUGUGAGUCUGGGCACUGCUCUGCCUCCCCCAA